rnacentral:rRNA from 1 species
AUAUCAAUAAGCGGAGGAAAAGAAACCAACAGGGAUUGCCUCAGUAACGGCGAGUGAAGCGGCAACAGCUCAAAUUUGAAAUCUGGUCCUUUCAGGGCCCGAGUUGUAAUUUGUAGAAGAUGCUUCGAGCGUGGCACCGGUCUAAGUUCCUUGGAACAGGACGUCAUAGAGGGUGAGAAUCCCGUAUGCGACUGGCCGCCUUUGUUCAUGUGAAGCUCUUUCGACGAGUCGAGUUGUUUGGGAAUGCAGCUCAAAAUGGGUGGUAUAUUUCAUCUAAAGCUAAAUAUUGGCCAGAGACCGAUAGCGCACAAGUAGAGUGAUCGAAAGAUGAAAAGCACUUUGGAAAGAGAGUUAAACAGUACGUGAAAUUGUUGAAAGGGAAGCGCUUGCAACCAGACUUGCACAUUGCUGAUCAUCUGGGGUUCUCCCCAGUGCACUCGGUAACGUUCAGGCCAGCAUCGGUUUGGGUGGUUGGAUAAAGGCCUUGGGAAUGUAGCUCCUCUCGGGGAGUGUUAUAGCCCUCGGUGCAAUGCAGCCUACCCGGACCGAGGACCGCGCUUCGGCUAGGAUGCUGGCGUAAUGGUUGUAAGCGA